rnacentral:rRNA from 1 species
UGCCAGCCGCCGCGGUAAGACGAACCGACCGAACGUUAAUCGGAAUCACUGGGCGUAAAGCGCUCGUAGGUGGCUUUGUAAGUCAGAUGUGAAAGCCCACGGCUCAACCGUGGAAUUGCAUUUGAUACUGCAUCGCUAGAGUAUAGGAGAGGGAAGUGGAAUUUCUGGUGUAGGAGUGAAAUCCGUAGAGAUCAGAAGGAACACCGGUGGCGAAGGCGACUUCCUGGACUAUUACUGACACUGAGGAGCGAAAGCGUGGGGAGCAAACAGGAUUAGAUA